CCCUGUGAAUUUAUAUUUUUAUGGAAAAGUCUUCCCAACUCCUAUAGGCAGAAAUGAACAGUGAUUUCGCCUACCCUCAUCAUCGUCUGAAAUUCAUCGUACAGUCACGAUUGUCCGAUAAUGUUUUAUUUUUUAUUUUUUUUACAAAUUGGAAUGACCUACAAUAUGGAGGGUAUGUACAUCUUAGUGAGGCACAGCUAAUAAAAAUAUAAAAA
rnacentral:lncRNA from 1 species